ensembl:lncRNA
UAUUUAGCUAUGAAAGACUUUGUUUGGCUAGGUCUACAGCUAUAAAAGACUUGAUUUGGUUAGGUCUGUAGCGGUGAAGAAGGUUUGGUUAGGUCUUGGGGUCCGGAAGUUAUCGUUGGGAUAUGGCUUUAGCCAUGUAGUUCUUGAUUUGGCUAGGUCUUAUAUUUGGCAGCUCUUUGGUGGUCUUGGCCGACAGGUCUGUCUCCAUGGGCCUCGUCCCUCUCGGUAAGCUAGUCUAGCUCGUAGUGGCGAUGCAGUGGAUAAGAAAGUCCAAAUCUAAAAGCAAACAAGAGAUAGAGCUGAAAUGCUGGAGGAAUGGUGGUAGACAGUAAGCCAAAAGAAAAAUAUAUGACUUGACUCGUGCGGUGUAUGAUGAGUGCAGAGAAAGAAGAGCGAGAGAAGAAUGACGCAACACAAAAGUAAACACCAGGCGGGGGAAGACUAACUGCAUGACACAAGCAGAGUCGCUGAUUUCCCAUAAUCAACGCCAGCGUCUUGCCAUGAAUUAUUCAGUCAAACACAGAUCUCAUCAUCUGCUGGCACAGAGAGAAUCACCUGCAAUCAUCUGGAGCUCCCCAGAUCUACGGAGUGACUGACAGGCCUCCUGAGACCGAAUUAUACACAUCUCUCUCUCUCUCUCCCCAACUCCCAUGUCUACAUAUAGAUCCCUCGGUUCUUUAUAUACAUGUCUCAUAUAAACUGUUUGUCUCCCCCUCUCUCCUUCUUUAUAUCUCACCCUCUACCCUUAUUUAUAUCUCACUCACUCCUUCUUUAUCUCACCCUCUCCCCUUAUUUAUAUCUCACUCCUUUAUAUCUCCCCCUCUCCUUUCUUUAUGUGCAUAACGCUGAGUCUGUUAUAACUCUGCCCCUCUCUCCUUCCUUUAUGCCUCUCUCUCUCCCCUUUAUCUAUCUUCCUCCCUUCAGAGCUAGGGGACGCACAAGCACACACAGACACAAACACAAACACACACACACAGACACACACACACACACACAUCACAAAGAGGGAUCCCGUGCGCGCCAAUGGGCCCUAACUCACUUCAGCUCAGUGUGAGCAGGCACCGCAAGGCCACAGGCCAUCGGGGGAGGUGUAAACACUCCCUCCACACAAACAGAGGAGUCGUUUUACUGCCGGCCAGCUGGGGGACAUAAGGAACAGGAGACAGACCUUACUGGUCAUGAAGACGUCCCCCCCUCCCCUCCCUUCCCCUCACGAGCCAAACAAGGCUGUUUAUUGGCUGUCGCAGCAGUGACUAAACGCCGCCGGGAGCUAAAUUUUACACAGCGUUUUUGCAAUAACUGAUAUGAACCUCAAACGCCAAAUUAAGACUAGGAACCAGAGCCUCAG